AAUAAAUUAAAACAAUUCUUUAAAAAGACAGUUAAAAGGACUCUUCUUAAAAAGAAGAAGAGUCUUUUAAACUAUCAUUUUAAAGAAUUGUUUUAAUUUAUU